rnacentral:rRNA from 1 species
GACGAACGCUGGCGGCGUGCUUAACACAUGCAAGUCGAACGGAAAGGCCCUGCUUUUGUGGGGUGCUCGAGUGGCGAACGGGUGAGUAACACGUGAGUAACCUGCCCUUGACUUUGGGAUAACUUCAGGAAACUGGGGCUAAUACCGGCUAGGAGCUCCUGCUGCAUGGUGGGGGUUGGAAAGUUUCGGCGGUUGGGGAUGGACUCGCGGCUUACCAGCUUGUUGGUGGGGUAGUGGCUUACCAAGGCUUUGACGGGUAGCCGGCCUGAGAGGGUGACCGGCGACAUUGGGACUGAGAUACGGCCCAGACUCCUACGGGAGGCAGCAGUGGGGAAUAUUGCACAAUGGGCGGAAGCCUGAUGCAGCAACGCCGCGUGCGGGAUGACGGCCUUCGGGUUGUAAACCGCUUUCGCCUGUGACGAAGCGUGAGUGACGGUAAUGGGUAAAGAAGCACCGGCUAACUACGUG